AAAAUGCCUGGGCCGCGGUAGGUGCUUAAAGAUGUCUGCUUCCUGAACUGUCCAACCCAGCACAGCAGGACACCUUGGCCUUGCCAGAGGAUGCAGCCACCUACAGUUAGGGCUGCCCCAAAAGCGGGGGCCAGGAAGCCAGGACUAUAGGGAACAAAGCCGGUGGCUAAGAGAUCAAGGGGGACCCUGGAGAGACACAGGUGAAGUGGCAAGGGCUUCAGAUCCCCACCACUAGGACAAGAGAAAGCCAAAGACCUCGUCUGCCACCGCUCUGUACUCCCCAGAAUCCCAGGACUGGACCUGACACAUGGUAGAUGAUCAAUAAACAUGGUGAUUUUGCUGUUGUUAACAA